GGAAUAGCCUCCCGAAAGGGAGAUUAAUACCGCAUAACACUGCGGUUUCGCAUGAAACUGCAGUUAAAGGAGCAAGCCGCUAUGAGAUGGACCCGCGACGCAUUAGCUAGUUGGUGAGGUAAAGGCUCACCAAGGCCACGAUGCGUAGCCGACCUGAGAGGGUGAUCGGCCACAUUGGAACUGAGACACGGUCCAGACUCCUACGGGAGGCAGCAGUGGGGAAUAUUGCACAAGGGGCGAAAGCCUGAUGCAGCAACGCCGCGUGGAGGAUGAAUGCCUUCGGGUUGUAACUCUUGUCUUCUGGGACGAUAAUGACGGUACCAGAGGAGGAAGCGACGGCUACUACGUGCCAGCAGCGCGGUAUACGUAGGUGGCGAGCGUUGUCCGGAUUUACCUGGGCGUAAGGAUGCGUAGCGGAUAUUAAUGGGAUGUGAAAUACCU
rnacentral:rRNA from 1 species